rnacentral:rRNA from 2 species
AUUGCACAAUGGGCGAAGCCUGAUGCAGCUAUACCGCGUGUAUGAAGAAGGCCUUAGGGUUGUAAAGUACUUUCGUUGGGGAGGAAAAAUAAAUAGAUAAUACCUGUUUAUCGUGACGUUACCCAAAAAAGAAGCACCGGCUAACUCCGUGCCAGCAGCCGCGGUAAUACGGAGGGUGCAAGCGUUAAUCAGAAUUACUGGGCGUAAAGAGCUCGUAGGCGGUUUUUUAAGUCAGAUGUGAAAUCCCUGGGCUUAACCUAGGAACUGCAUUUGAAACUAAAAGACUAGAGUAUCGUAGAGGGAGGUAGAAUUCUAGGUGUAGCGGUGAAAUGCGUAGAUAUCUGGAGGAAUACCUGUGGCGAAAGCGGCCUCCUAAAUGAAUACUGACGCUGAGGUGCGAAAGCAUGGGGAGCAAACAGGAUUAGAUACCCUGGUAGUCCAUGCCGUAAACGAUGUCGACUUGGAGGUUGUUUCCUUGAGAAGUGACUUCCGAAGCUAACGCGUUAAGUCGACCGCCUGGGGAGUACGGUCGCAAGGCUAAAACUCAAAUGAAUUGACGGGGGCCCGCACAAGCGGUGGAGCAUGUGGUUUAAUUCGAUGCAACGCGAAAAACCUUACCUGGUCUUGACAUCCACAGAAUUUUUCAGAGAUGAAAAAGUGCCUUAGGGAACUGUGAGACAGGUGCUGCAUGGCUGUCGUCAGCUCGUGUUGUGAAAUGUUGGGUUAAGUCCCGCAACGAGCGCAACCCUUAUCCUCUGUUGCCAUUGGUUCGGCCAGGAACUCAGAGGAGACUGCCGGUUAUAAACCGGAGGAAGGCGGGGACGACGUCAAGUCAUCAUGGCCCUUACGACCAGGGCUACACACGUGCUACAAUGGUGUAUCCAAAGAGAAGCAACUCUGCAAAGACAAGC